rnacentral:rRNA from 1 species
UACGUAGGGGGCUAGCGUUGUCCGGAAUUACUGGGUGUAAAGGGCGUGUAGGCGGGAUAUUAAGUCAGAUGUGAAAUACCGAAGCUCAACUUCGGGGCUGCAUCUGAAACUAAUAUUCUUGAGUGCAGGAGAGGAAAGCGGAAUUCCAAGUGUAGCGGUGAAAUGCGUAGAUAUUUGGAGGAACACCAGUGGCGAAGGCGGCUUUCUGGACUGUAACUGACGCUGAGGCGCGAAAGCGUGGGGAGCAAACAGGAUUAGAUACCCUGGUAGUCCACGCCGUAAACGAUGGAUACUAGGUGUAGGAGGUAUCGACCCCUUCUGUGCCGGAGUUAACACAAUAAGUAUCCCACCUGGGGAGUACGGCCGCAAGGUUGAA